ACGAACGCUGGCGGCGUGCUUAACACAUGCACGUCGAACGGAAAGGCCCUGCUUUUGUGGGGUGCUCGAGUGGCGAACGGGUGAGUAACACGUGAGUAACCUGCCCUUGACUUUGGGAUAACUUCAGGAAACUGGGGCUAAUACCGGAUAGGAGCUCCUGCUGCAUGGUGGGGGUUGGAAAGUUUCGGCGGUUGGGGAUGGACUCGCGGCUUAUCAGCUUGUUGGUGGGGUAGUGGCUUACCAAGGCUUUGACGGGUAGCCGGCCUGAGAGGGUGACCGGCCACAUUGGGACUGAGAUACGGCCCAGACUCCUACGGGAGGCAGCAGUGGGGAAUAUUGCACAAUGGGCGGAAGCCUGAUGCAGCAACGCCGCGUGCGGGAUGACGGCCUUCGGGUUGUAAACCGCUUUCGCCUGUGACGAAGCGUGAGUGACGGUAAUGGGUAAAGAAGCACCGACUAACUACGUG
rnacentral:rRNA from 1 species